AAAUGUGAUGUAAAGGUCUAUAUUUUUGCAAAACCAUAUAAUUAGAACUGAAAAUGACUACAAUCUCAACGUGAAGCCAAUUAGAGAAACAUUCUGGUGCAAAAUGCAACAAAAAGUCCCGGAAAUUGGUGCAUUAUGGAUGUUUUUAGAAACUCACC